GAUUACCUAUAGGAGUCAAUAGACUUGUUUAAACCCCAGUUAUGGAGUUCCAGUCGCUUGUGGAUAGUUCUAAAACUUCUCACACGGGGCACCAAUCUGCUAUAUUUUCUAUAUGUUCCCUUCCUCUCUAUUGCCACUGUCCGCCCCGCAGUAGUCAGGGAGACAGGGACGAUAUUAUAGCAUGGACCUGAGGUACUAAAUCGAGGCUCUCUCUAUUGCUGAGAUGGUAUUGCAGCCUUAUUCCAGGGAUCAUGUGGGGAAAGAGAGAGAAAAUUGAUAACACACUUCUUUUUGAAGACAGGGGAAGGGUUACAUUCUUACAACCCAUAAGGAAAACUGGUGGAGAUAACAUUCUACAUUUCAGAGGUACAUCUCGGGUUAUACCAUUUUUCUAAAUGCAUUACAACAAGGUUGCACUUUUGAAGAUAUUCACAGGAAGAAUUCAGUGUCUCAAAAAUCUGUCUCUCAGCUUCUAAAAAUGUGAAACCAAGGGUUUGAUAUUCCUGAAUACAUUCACUUGCCGACUGUCACUGAAGACAAGAGUUUAAAAAGUCUCAGAAAUAUAAACAAAGAGCAGAAUUAGAAAUAGAUCAAAUGUUUUGGUCAGGCCUGUUAUUUAAGAUCUAAGAGCAAAUCCCCCUGUUUCUUAAUGCCACAAAGAAUAAACUCUGAAAAACAGUACUUUUUGUUUUGAGACCAUGAAAAAUCAGUACUGAUAUAAUUUUCUAUAGCUCAGUUAAUGGUUCACGUGUUUAAAACCAAUAGUUUAGUGGAUGAAAUAAGUGACUUUCACUAACAAACAGCUGUCAUACAAAAGCUUACCUAUUCCCCACAGCUGUAGUUAUCAGGAGAUGUAGAGAAAUAGAUCUGCCCUGGGAGAUUGAAAGGAAUGGAAGAAGCACAGGGCCAAUUACUCUAGCUUUGGUCAAUGCAUAUUGAGGCCAUGGCAUUCAUUGAAUAUGAUGAAAUGUACUACAUUGUAUAUGGUGAAGUAGAAACAAUAAUCAAUGCCUAUGCUCAAUGUGAUGAUUUGGAAACCCCAGAAAUUGCAAAAAAGAUCAGUGUACAGAAAUUCAAGGUCAAAUUAGCAGAUGAGCUGUGUUUAAAAAGAUGUAAUAAUUAACAAUAGAUCACAACAACAAUAAUAAUAAUAAUAAUAACUGAAUGCUUAAUUAGGGAGAGUGCAUAAGUGUAUUUUUGGUCAUCUGAGUUCCACUGGUUUUGCACAGAAUACUGGUUUAGAAUAAUUAAUGUUAUGUCUAUAUAUGCUGUCUAACAAGACAUUUGUUACAGCCAUUUCAUUGAGAAGAUGAGGAAAGCAUACACAGCACUCUGCAUGUCAGCUGUGUGGCCUUGGUAGAUGCCAUACAUGGCUAAAAAACAUGUCUUUGCAUAUGAAAAAAAUGCAUUUUCUAGAAAAGCAUAUUAAGAUUCACUGGAAAACUAACUCAUAUUUCUUCUUGCUGACAUUGUGAUAAGGCAGUGUUAAAGAUUACUUCAUCUUAAGAAAGUGAAUUUUGGAAGCUGUAACUUAGUAGCAGCGCUGGUCAGAAAACAAUUUUACACAAAAAAUUAUAUCUGUUUCAAAAAACCCUGCAACAUUAGGUUUUCAUGAAGAAGCUGUGUGUGGAAAAAGUAAUCAAAGUACUGAGGUACUUUAAGAAUGUAUGCUGGCUGAUUUUUUAAUUUUUCUUGCUGUCUCUUAUGCCUUGUGUUUGAUUAAAAUAUUCAUUGGACCAGAGAGAAAAUAAAACACUAAUUAAGUGUCUUUGUUUGGAUCUAGGAAUCCACUGGAGCAGAUAAUGACAGAAAAUACUUCACUAAAAAUAUACUUAUUUUUCCAAUUAAUAGUUUAGCAGCAACUCCACUCAAAUAGAAACAUGAAAUUACCAACUGUGAUAAUUGAAAAAUUACUUAAAUAUUAAUAAUAGAAAGUCUGACCAGAAAAUUUUAAGUUUUGAUUGAACAAUCAUUGUUAGCAACAAUGACAUGGAGAACAGCCACAAGUAUUUAUUAUGUUUAAUAUUGUUUCAUUUCUGAUGUUAUAGAUAUGCACAUGGACAUCUGAUUAUUUGCUGAAGUAAAGUUCUGAUUAUUUAAUUUUCAUAUAUUCUAUUAUAUUAAUGCAGUCUCACAUUCAGGGAGCUUAACAAUUCAGGCAUGCAAAUGCAAUCAAAAUCUCCACUUGAUUUUUAAGAGACAGAGGGAGUUCUGUUAAGGAUUUUAAACUGGCAAAACCUGUUUAUCACAUUAUAAUUUUCUCUAAUUAAUACUGUGAGAAAUAUCAGCUAUAAAAAUCUUUACCAAACACUGAGUCACACUUAAACUGGUGAAAAAUUCUUCUCUUGCCCAAGCAAACAUUAGAGAAAAUCAGUUCCAAUGUGUUCCUUGAAACUGAGCACUAAUUGAUGAGUGUAAGUGAAGAUAAACAUAGAAGAAGCUGGAAAUAAACAUAGAACAUGAAGAUAAGCAUAGAAGAAGUAAUUUUGUUGAACUGUGGAAUAUGAUGUAUUUUCCUAAAUGGCCAAGAGAGAGGUGAAAUUCAGUAAAUUGUAUUGCAUAUAUUUUAUAUAUGCAUAUAUAUAUAAAAGUAUAUAUAUAUAUAUGUUAAGCCUGAAAAGGGGAGUUAAAUCCCAUUCUUUUACAGAUGGAACAUGGGACACGAGGAACUGAGCCUAUGGAAUGAGCAUACAUUACAGGCUGUGAGAUAAUUCAGCCAGCCCUGAGGUGCAUGAAAAUAACAAUGGAAAACAAAAAUCAUAUAAAAAUCUUUAUUCAUCACAUACAGAAACUUUGUCCAACCAAAGACACAUGGUGUCCCUGCCCAAACACAGUUCCUAAAGAAACUGAAAGCUGCUGGAGGCUGGAGACACAUUCUUUGGUUGUGGGGGGAACAGUUCUCUAUGUAAAACAGAGGUACCUAUCCCUCUCAGGGCUGUGACCUGUGGCAGGCAGGUGCUGGGGAGAGAAGUGUCUCACUUUAGUGGAAGAAAUCUUUUGAAUAGGUUCGAAUAGGUGAUAUUGGUACCCCUGCACCUACUGCCCUGAUGCCCCUGCUGUCAUUGGGAUUUAUCCUCUUGACCAUUGUAAACAGACAUACAGGGUAAGACACUCUCCUUCUUUUAUCAGUGAUGAAGAAAGAUGGGGACAACUGAUUUGGUGAUCAGAAUCCAAUUUUACUGUGGGCAACAUAAGCUUAUAUACCAUUCUAGGAAAGUUAGUAAUUUUUUACUACAAUGGUUGAGUUAAACAUCAUGCAAACAUACAAACAUACAUGCAUAUUUCAACAUUGAUUCAAUCUUCUCCCUGUCACCAGGCUUGAUUCAAUAUUCUUGCAAUCUUCAAAGUUCUGUUUGUUCUUGCCAGGGUAUCCUGGUUAUCAGAUGUCUUAUGCUAAUCAAGGUACUUUCUGGUACCAAAGUACUUUCUGAUUUCAUCAUACUUCCUGUUCCCUCUAAGUGAUGCAGAGAAACGGUAUCUCAGAUACAAGCCUUUGAAACCUGAGACAAACAAAAUAAAGCUAAAAUAUGUUAAAAGUGUAAAAGAGUCCACUGCACAUAGUAGGAAAAAUGCACAGGUAUCAUUGAAGAAUCUCCUUUUUGUUAUGUGUUGGUUUUUUUUUAGUGAAAUCUUUUUAAAUUUGUCUUUUCUAGCUUUUCCACAUACACUGUAAUUCUAUAUUCAAAGUUCUCUUUUUGGCAUUAUAUUGCAUUGGUACUGGCACAUAAUGUAAUAUACAUGUAUUACAUACACACGCACACACGCACACACACAUGCAAAUUGCGAAGUCAAAGGAAUCAAAAUGCCAGAAAAUACUGGUUUGGGUCUUUGGAAUAGAUGAUAUAUCUUCUGCCUACAUAUGCUCAGGAAGACACUUACCAUAACACAAGUUACCAUCACUGAGAGACCAAGUAGUUUGUCAAAGAAGUAUUAAAUCAAUUGAGGGUCUGGCAGGGAAAUUCCAAAAUCAGCUGAUUGUCUCAGAAAAUACCAGGUUGUGUCCAAAAUGUGUGUGCUUUACACCUGUUUGUCCUAUUCGGAAGAACCUUGCAGAGUGGUGGUUAACAAUUGCCUUUGGUCAUUGACUUCUUCAGUUAAAAUUCCCUGACUUUAGACUGUUCUGCUUGUGAUAGCCUAAAAUCCCAGUUUAGGUGAUUUAAGAUUAAAAUAUGACAAAUAUUCCACUAGGUAUGGAUUGCUUAAUAAUGUAUUACUCUAUUUCAUAGUAUUAUUACUCAUGCCAACCAUUUAUUUCUCUAUUCAAUCCAUGAUAUUUGUCUUCUCUGACAGACCAAAUAAAAACAUGAAUACAGAAUAGAAAAUAGAUUUCCUGUUAACUUCUCUUGGAUUUAUUGGUUCUCUAUUACCAAUUGUGUGACAGUAGUUUUUCAUCCUUUUCAGAGACACAGGUAAUAAUGACAGAAUUUAUUCUACUACAGAUAUUUCCAAUCACAAAAAAAGGGAACUGUGUCUCGUUAAGGACUUUUGGGUUAGGUUCUUUUUCCCUUUGAACUGAAGAUUGAUGAGAGGGAGGCUGUUUUUUCUUGUUCGGUCUCAGUAAUUUAUUCUUUUCUUAUCAGCAUUACAAGGUACAAGGAGCUAUGUGCACUAUGAUGGAAAAGGGGUAAAAUGGCUAACAAAGAUCUUCUUCAAGGUCUUUUAUAUGUCCAUUUACCCAAUUAACAGAUGCCAACUAAGUUAUUUUUCUUAGUGACCCAAUGACCCAACAUCUGUGUGCUGCACUGCGGCAUUUUUUACCCAAUCACUUACUACCACCCAAAAACCCCUAGGAGAAGAACAUGAAGAAGAAAGAAGAAGGACAAGAGACAACACCCUAAAUUCUCCAUCUUGUCUCCUGUUCUCUAAAUUACUUUUUCACCCAGUGAUUUAAGAACUUUCUAAUCUACAUACUUAACUUUUUCUAUCUAACUUUAACAUUUGUUUUCAUGUAUCACCAUGAAAACAUGCUCGUGAAUUUCAUGCUAUAUGAAAUUCAGUGUUUCUUUGAAUCCUAGAACUAAGUAUUAGAAACAAGGGCACACACUCUGUAUCUCAGACUCCAACAGAACUGUGGCAUCAUUUAACCUGGAGAUAAAAAGAGAGCUAUCAAAAAUUUCAUAUAGUUUAGAAGGUUGUUGAGCAUGAAGCUAUCUCUGGGCCUCUGUAUUAAAGGACAAAAAAACACUGACUAAACAAAAGGUUUUUGAAUACUACAUGUUGACAGCUCCAGAUACAGUGUCAGAAAGUUAGUCAUCAUCCCUGGAGCAUGCAGUUGAAGUGACAAGUUCAAAUUUGAUUACAGCAGUGUUCUUGGUGCAAAGCAAAUUUGUGUAGUAGGUUAAAAAUUCCAAAUAUGUUUAUCUAAACUUCUUUAGCAGGGUGAAGAGUGAGUCGCUGGAAGGAACAAAUGAAAACUGAAAAAACAUAGGAAAUUUUAAAAGGCAUGAUGCUCAAUUAAAGACACCAAACUAGUGGCCCAAAUGGCUAAUGAGACAAGUUGGCAUCACUGAAAAACUUCUCCAGCCUGCCUUGUCAGUAGAAAUGCACACACUCCAAGACCGAGUCCUUUCCUCCUACACCUUAACAGGACAGCUUUUUCCAGUGAUGUGCCACCCGUUCAUUAUGCACAGGAAUGAGGUUAUAGGACCCAAGCAAGUGCUCAGAACUGGAAGCUCAUGUGAAGAGGGCAUGUGGCAUCUUCUCAAGUUGUUAGAUUUGAUUACUGCUGAUGGAAUUCCAGAUGCAAGACUUGAAUUUGUGCUGAGAGAACCCUAAACAUCUUCCUGAACUCGUAACUUAGGAUAAGCAGCACUCUAGCUACCUGCCUGUCCUCUGGAUUCUUGUAGGCUUUCAGCAAGAGAAAUAUCAGCAAAGACUGUGGGUAUGAAACUGUUCUUAGUCCCGAAAUUGCCCCACCUCCUUCUGCAUUUCUAACUUAGAACUCUACAUGCCCAGUGGAACUGUCCAGAUGUGAUUCUUUUCUCAGUUCUCUAAGGAGGCUGGGAAGAAACCAGGAAGAUUCUCAGAUAUUUUAUUUUGUCUGUGGGAGAGCCAUGUCCCAAAAUACAAUAACAUAAUUGAUUAAUUCCAGUACUCUUGGGCCUGCAAAACACUUGGAAUGUUUGCCAUUGAAAAUGUGACCAUUCAUAAAUACAUGGAUCUUGUCAACAUCAAGAAGGAAAGUAAAGUGAAAUAGGCACUAUAUUUCGCUGAGUUUUAAAGAAUAUACAUUGUUACACUCUAAGAUAAACUGUAAAUGUUAUUUUGAAACCUGUUAUUGAAAAGUGUAACAUACAGAUUUCUGCUAAAGAACAUUAGGUUUUCCAAGAGCUUGUUUAAAAAUUAUUCAUAAUAUUCAGAUUUCACUGUUAUUCUUUAUGUCAUCUGUAAUGCAUUCCCAUCUCUCCAUAUGAUUUACAGUAUUUAACUGAGGAAAUCUAUGGCUAUUGUCUUUGAGGGUUACUGAGAUCUAAUAGCACCUAGUUAUAAUUGCAUUUUACAGGAAAUUUUCUUGAGGUUUAAUUUCCAGUGUACUGCUAAAUAAAAUUAGAUACUUAGCUCUGCUUUAAAGACUUAAUUUGAGUGUAAAUAAAAGAAAAACCAAAAAAAACAAAAACAAAACCGACCCCCACUGCUUUAUAUACUCUCUUAUAUGUAGACACUUUGAAAAUUGCACUAAUUAGGCAAAGCUGAUAAUAUAAAUGCAUUUUAGCACCUGGACUUUCAUUAUUCUUUUUUCCCACUUGCUCACCCUGGGACAUAGGAGCUAAAUCAUCAGUAAGUGAAGUCUUUGUGUGCUUGGUUUUGCAAGCUUGAAUUUUCACACUGUAGGCAGAUGGAAGUCUUGGAAAUACUGGUGUGCAAUACAAGUAGAUAUCCUAUCUAUUUUGAAAUUUGACUACAUAAGGAAGUGAAAGAAUAGGUGGCACAGAAUGGAAUUCAUGAUAUUGCUUAUAACAAAAAGCAUGAAAUAAGAGCCCUGGGAUACAGUUAUUAGCACCUGUCAUCUUGUGGGUCUCUGAAAUUGGAUCUGUUGCCUGUUAGAUCUAUUAAUCAUUGAAAACUGCUUUAGGCACAGUUACUGAAAGAGAAAUAUUAAUAUCCAGCAAUUAAACUGAUAUGGAGACUUGUCAGCUUCAUGCUCAACAAGUAUUCUUGUAAGAUCAUAGACUUCAGAGCAGUAAGUUAUGUUGCAUGAUAACUAUUUAAUAUACAGUAGGAACUGUCUACUAGGGGUCUUGGAAUUCUGAGUUAUGCCCUCAGUCUCUCGAGUCCCUACAAAAGUGACUUGGUCUUGUAAUAGAUAAACUUAUGAAUAAAAAUUCGUAAAGGUCUAAAUAAAUAUAUUUGUAGCUAUAAUAAUAAUAUAAAAUAGAAAAUACAGUGUAGCCAAAAAGUCCUUCCCCAGAUCUAGUCGCGAAUUCCCAUUCUGGAGCUAACAAAGCUAGCCGGCACCUAGCCAGCGCCCAUCAACCGAAAAGAAUAAGCAGGACACGGGCCAUCAGGCUGGCAAAGGAACAAGGAACAAGCUCGGACAAGAUACUCAUCGCUGGACCCAAACACCCCGCCCUGCAGACCACUGUUGGGGAAGCAAUCAGGCUAACAAAGGAACAAGCUCAGAGGAGAUACUCAUCGCCGGACCUGAACACCCCGCCUUGCAGACCACCGUUGGGGAAGCAAUCAGACUGGACAAAGGGAAAAGCCCAGCCGAGAUAUUCAUCGGCUCCAACCCGGAUCCAACCACUCCAUCCUGAUGGCCUGAACCAAAAUGAAAUCAAGGAACAUUCAGAACCUCUUUACAUAUGAGGAGACUCUGCCUGGACAUCUAUUAACUCUAUUCUCCAAUGCCAGGAAAUCCAUUCAUCCAACAAUCAAGGACCUUUGGUGAAUGGUGCCUGCUUGGAAUUUGGCCUCAGGACACAAAAUCCCUAUAAAAACCCCAGCCAGAGAACCCUCGAUCGUGGAUUUGGGAACAGCUAUACCUUUGGGUAUAGACCCUGUACACCCAGCGCUGUGCUGCCCAUUUUAUUGUGGUUUGUCUCGUUGUUUGUUCUUUAUUGAAAUUGUUUUAUAAUAAAUUUCUCUUUUUAUUUAACCUAAA